rnacentral:pre_miRNA from 1 species
AUGGUACUCCCUCCGUUCGGAAUUACUUGUCGUAGAAAUGGAUGUAUCUAGAUGUAUUUUAGUUCUAGAUACAUCCAUUUCCGAGACAAGUAAUUCCGAACGGAGGGAGUAUUUU